rnacentral:rRNA from 1 species
GUCUAUGGCCAUGCCACCCUGAACAAGCCCAAUGUCUGAUCUCGGAAGCUAAGCAGGGUCGGGCCUGGUUAGUACUUGGAUGGGAGACCACCUAGGAAGACCAGGUGCUGUAGGCA